GAUGAACGCUAGCGGCAGGCUUAACACAUGCAAGUCGAGGGGUAUAGUUCUUCGGAACUAGAGACCGGCGCACGGGUGCGUAACGCGUAUGCAAUCUGCCUUUCACAGAGGGAUAGCCCAGAGAAAUUUGGAUUAAUACCUCAUAGUAUUAUAGACUGGCUUCGGUUUAUAAUUAAAGUCACAACGGUGAAAGAUGAGCAUGCGUCCCAUUAGCUAGUUGGUAAGGUAACGGCUUACCAAGGCGACGAUGGGUAGGGGUCCUGAGAGGGAGAUCCCCCACACUGGUACUGAGACACGGACCAGACUCCUACGGGAGGCAGCAGUGAGGAAUAUUGGUCAAUGGACGCAAGUCUGAACCAGCCAUGCCGCGUGCAGGAUGACGGUCCUAUGGAUUGUAAACUGCUUUUGUACGAGAAGAACCACUCCAACGUGUUGGAGCUUGACGGUAUCGUAAGAAUAAGGAUCGGCUAACUCCGUGCCAGCAGCCGCCGCCGUAA
rnacentral:rRNA from 1 species